UUUUGUUUUUUGUAUCUCUCGCUCAUUGUUUUGUCUUGCUUGGGGGUUUUUUGUUGUUACGGGAAGAGUAUAACCUAAGCCUAAGCCUAAAGAAAAGAAAACAAUAUAUUUAU
rnacentral:ribozyme from 1 species